rnacentral:lncRNA from 10 species
UCCCCUUCCCCCCUCCUCUUCUUCUUCUUCUUCUUCUUUCUUCCUUUCUCCUUCUUCUUUUUUUUUGAGACAGGGUCAGACUCUGUCACCUAGGCUGGAAUGCAGUGGUGUGAUCGUGGCUCACUGCAGUCCGCACUUCCCAGGCUCAGGUGAUCCUCCCACCUCAGCCUCCCAAAUAGCUGGGACCACAGGCAUGUGCCACAGUGCUUGGCUAAUUUUUUCUAUUUUUUGUAGAGACAGUGUCUUGCCAUAUUGUCCAGGCUUGAGCUCAAACUCUUGGGCUCAAGUGAUCCUCCCGCCUUGGCUUCCCAAAGUGCUGGGAUUACAGGUGUGAGCCACCGCACCUGACCUCUCUAAUAAUAACCUUUAAUAGUGGAAGGCCUCUAGGGCUCUGACUUAGACACUCAUUUCACCUUUGUCCAAGAUGGUCUCCUUCACUGUUAGGACCUCCGAGCUCCAGAGCCACAUGUCCAUCCAGCCGCCUGACUUAACAGCUCCAUAUGGCUGUCCACAGCCACCUUGGAUGCUACUUGAACUCUCAUCUUCCUCCCCCAAGCUGUCCCGGAGUGCUGCCAUCCCCUGGGUUGUUCAAGCCCAAAACCUUGCUUGACUCCCUCCUUCCCCUCGUUUCCCCACCCAAGCCCCGUUGAUUCUCUCUUCUGCAUUUUUCAUCAACCUACCUGCUUUCAUUCCCUCUAUCAACAGGUUGAUCCAAACUAACAUUCCCGCCUCACAUGAAGUAGCGUCCUGCUUGGUGUCUCUACACACCAUCUUGCUCUCGGCCGACCUCUCCCCUCCCGCAGCUGGAAAAACCUUUGAAUUACGUAGAUUUAUGCCGCUUCUCAUGCUCUUUUCCUUAGCUUCCCUGUGAUCCACCUGGCCUUGCCCUCAGCCCAGUGACAGCCUCAGACUGCCAGACCUCUUGCUACCUCAGAGCUUUUCCUUGUGCUGUCCCCCUGCCUGGAUUGAUGUCUCUCUCCCUGCUCUGUCUACUUAAGAACUCAGUCUCUGGGUCCACUUGACAAGGCAUAUUCUUGGGGAAGCUUGAAUGAAGCCCAAAGGAGACCAGGUACCCUGUUAGACAUUCUCAGCAUGUGAUUUGUUUAAAGAUUAUCUUCCCUCCUAGGCUGUAAGCAUUUUAAGGAUAGGGAUCACACCAGUCUUCACCGUUGUAUUACCAGCACCCUGCAUAGGGUGGGAGGUUAGGACAGCCGAGUAGUAGGAAAUGCUGGCUGCCUGGAUUCAAAUUCCACUGCCACUGCUUUCUAGUGUUGUGAUUUUGAGCACGUUGACUUAAGCUCUCAAAUACCUGCCUCUGAAGAGUUACUGUGAAGACCAAAUGAUAAUGUGUGUAAAGAAUUUACUAUGGUCCUUGGCACAUAGUAUUCAGUAAAUAUUAGCUGUUAGGAUUAUCAAGGUGCCGAUAAAUAUUUGCUGAAAGACUGCUUUUCGAAGAGUGUGUGCUCAAUAAAUACUUCCAGGUAUUUUGCACAUAGGUGUUAUUGCACCGAACCCUAUUGCUUGUGUAUUACAGUCCAUACACAAUGUCUAGCACAAAGCAGGCAUUCAGUGAAAGAAUGGGAGCAGUGAACUACAAAUGCAAGUGUGAGAACCCUGCAAAAGUGUGGAUGUAAUCACUGAGUGCUGAUAAGAAAUACUAGAGUAUUAUAUAGUAUAUUGCUCUUCACUUAUUCCUGCUUCUGUGUUAGAGGCACUGUGAGAAGAGGGCUUGCGAGAUAAGCUAUGUCUCUUUUACCGUCAACUGUCUACUCAGUGCGCAGUCCUGUGCCUGGCACAUUUGGGGAAUGCAAUAUUUUUUUUUCAAUGAAUGAAAGAAUAAAAAAAUGAAUGAAAACAGAAUUUGGAGUCUGAAUAACUGAGUUUGAGCCCCAGCUUCUUUCCUGAGUUAAUCUCCUAGGUUUCAAUAUCCUCAUUUGAAAAAUUGAGAAAGUUAACAUUCAUUUUUCAAUGAAAUAAGGAGAGAAUCCUGUUUAUGUUAACGUGCUACACAAAUACUAGUUAAAAAAGUUAAGCAUCCCCCAUCAUUUCUGGAAAGAAAAAUAAUCUUCUUAAUGUAACAAUAAAUCUUGUUUCAAAGAAGUUUGCGUUUACUCUGAUAAAACGGAUAGAAGAUCUUGGAUCACAGCCAACUUCUGAUGUAAAGGAAAAGGUGUUGGGCAAGGCCCUGUUCCCAAGGGCGGUGCUGGCUCGCUCACCUCUGUUCUUGGAUGCCACACUGUGCAGCCUGAGGGCUUUGACUUGCUGUGAAGUAUUGGGCAUUUCUCUCUAUGGUUCUUUUUCAUCAGGCAUCCUGGAGCCCAUGCACCUUAAACUUUGCCAGCCUCUGCUGGCCCUGAUCCCUUGUCUCUCAGGACACAGCUCAAAUACCACCUCCUCCAGCUCACCUCACGCCCACCAUUUGGCAAGUCCUAAGUUCUUGUCCUGCAUCCAGGAAGAAUGAGGUAUGCGGACAACUGGAGGGUGAACAAGGUGGAAAGGAGCUUUAUUGAGUGACAGAACAGCUCUUGGGAGACCCAAAGUGGGUGGCUCCUAUCUGCAGGCAGGUCAUCCCAGUGAAUGUCCAGCUCUCAGUGGAGAGGAGACCCAGAGUGGGCAGCUCCUAUUCGCAGAGUCAUGUGGAAGCACCAGGAUCCCAUUCCUACCACUGAAAUUAAACAAAUGAAAAAAAAUUAGCAUGAAAUUCUUUGUGCGUGGACAGUGACCUGAGAAGACAAUAAGACAUUUCAAAGCAUUGAGUUAAGGAUAAUGAAGUUUAUAAAAUCUAGUGGCAAGAUAUAGCUGACUCUUGACACAGACAGAGGAAAGGCCAUGUGAGACACAGCAAGAAAGUGACCAUCUGCAAGCCAGGAAGGAGACGUUUUUUGGUUUUGGUUCCUCACCAGGAACCAAAUUAAAUGCCACCUUGAUCUUGGACUUCCAAGCCUCCAGAACUGUGAGAAAUAAAUGUAUGUUGCUUAAGCCACCCAGUCUAUGGUAUUUUGUUACGGCAGCCUGAGCUAAAAAAGACAUUUAGGUUGUUUCUACAUUUUCACUAUUAUGAACAUAUUGUAUUUCACAUAUUGUAUAUGUGAACACUCAUAUACAAGUUUUUAUGUGGACAUAUGUUUUUAUUUCAUUCAUUCAUAUAUACUUUGGAGUGAGAUUUCUGGGUCACAUGGUUUAGUAUUUUGAGGAAGUGUUUUUUG